rnacentral:rRNA from 1 species
UAGUCCACGCCGUAAACGAUGAGUGCUAGAUAUCGGAAAUUAAACUUUCGGUUUCGUAGCUAACGCAUUAAGCACUCCGCCUGGGGACUACGGUCGCAAGAUUAAAACUCAAAGGAAUUGACGGGGGCUCGCACAAGUGGUGGAGCAUGCGGUUUAAUUCGAUGCUACGCGAAAAACCUUACCAGCCCUUGACAUACCUCUCGCGGAUUUCAGAGAUGAUUUCCUUCAGCUUGGCUGGAGAGUGUACAGGUGCUGCACGGCUGUCGUCAGCUCGUGUCGUGAGAUGUUGGGUUAAGUCCCGCAACGAGCGCAACCCUCGUCCUUAGUUGCUAACAUUUAGUUGAGAACUCUAAGGAAACUGCCGGUGAUAAACCGGAGGAAGGUGGGGAUGACGUCAAGUCUUCAUGGCCCUUAUGGGCUGGGCUACACACGUGCUACAAUGGCGAUGACAAAGGGCAGCGACCUCGCGAGAGGAAGCUAAUCUCCAAAAGAUAUCUCAGUUCGGAUUGUU